ACAGGUAAUAUUUUCAAGAUGCCGGGACGUUCCAGUUCAAAUUCAGGUUCAACUGGUUUCAUACCCUUCAGUGGUGUAGAGUCCGCUCUCUCCUCCUUAAAAAACUUCCAGUCCUGUAUCCACUCUGGAAUGGACACAGUUUCUAGUGUGGCUUUUGAUCUUGUGGAGACUCAGACUGAAGUGAGUAGCGAAUAUAGUAUGGACAAGGCGAUGGUUGAAUUUGUCAUAAUGAAUCGGAAGCUAAACCAUUAUGUUACGGCUGUUCAGUCUGCAAUAAAUCAUGUAAAAGAAGAACGGCCAGAAACAUACCUGAUUUGAAAUUAUUAGUGGAGGAGAAAUUUUUGGCUUUACAGAGUAAAAAUUCUGAUGCAGACUUUCAAAAUAAUGAAAAAUUUGUACAGUUUAAACAACAGCUGAAAGAACUACAGAAACAAUAUGGUGUGUGCAGGUGGAGCGAGGGGCUGAUGGCACUGAAGGAGUUGAUGAGGAGUUGAUUGUGACUCAGAGUCAGGCCAACUUCAUCUGCCCCGUUACACAGUUGGAAAUGAAGAAGCCAGUGAAAAAUAAAGUGUGCGGCCACACCUAUGAAGAGGAA